rnacentral:rRNA from 2 species
UGAGCUCAAAUCAGGUAGGACUACCCGCUGAACUUAAGCAUAUCAAUAAGC